rnacentral:lncRNA from 1 species
AUAUAUGAUAUAUGAUUAAGGAAGCUACUUAUAGACUGGUCUUCUGAUUGGCAAGACCAUAAACUCCUCAGUUAGUGAUAGUUAGUCAUACCUCUAUCAAUGGUUGGUUAGACUUUGAUGUGCUGGGAAAUCAUGCAUGCAAUGAAGCAAUUUUUCCUUACUUCCUUCUGGGUUAAGUUCAGUGUGACGAUGAUAUUUCAGUAAUCAGGAAAUACUGAGACAAAAAUUGUAUGUACUUAUUUACAUACCCAAAUCAAGGUCUGGGUUGUGUAUAAAGGCAAACACAGCUCACAGUUGCCUCAGACUCACAACAGCAAUAUAUCACACCACAAAAGGGGGUCAACAGGGUUAACUGGACCACGCUACUCUCAAACCUAGAACACUUAAGGAGUAUCUGACUGUACUGUCUUCUUUAGUCUCAACCUUUAUCUCCGUCUUCAGCAUGAAGCUUCUGCAUCUGCUGGUCUGCUGUUUGGCUCUCUGGGCCCCCUCACUCACUCAGACUAGCGGCAUGGGUGAGAGCACAGUUGCAGCAACAACCCCAACCACAACACCUGCAGAUACUGGAAAGACAACCAUGGAGACCGCCACAAACGUUUCUGUGACGACCACCUCAGAAACACCUCCAUCAACAACAACAACAACAACAACAACAACUACAGUUGAACCCACCACAAAAACAACACCCAAGCUAACCACCACAGGUGCACCGACAACAACAAAAACAAUCCCAUCCACUCCAACCACCACCACACCCGCAGCAACAACCAAAGUGACCACCACAGAUGCAUCUACAGCACACCCAACCAAAGCAAGCACUACAGCAGAAGAGACUACCACAUCAGCAUCAACUACAGUUGAACCCACCACAAAAACAACCCCCAAGGUAACCACCACAGGCCGUUUUAAAAGCACUGGGGAAUAUGCCAGUCUCAGGAGCUACUCGUAG